CUGUGACAAUAAUAGACCCAGCUGCAUGAUCCCAUACUGCUUCUUUGGAACGUUUGUGUGGAAAUCGCCAAUAAAUGGCGCCAUCACCUUGGGCUACAGCACCAUAUUUUGCUUGGCUAUCAAUUCUAACUGGAGGAGCUUGAAUACCAAGUUUCUGCCAAGCAUAAUAUAAUCAGAUUUACUUUGUUUUCUUUCAUAAGAUUCAAAGAAUGAGGCAUCCACUGGAUUGCUGAUAGAACAGACACUGAUCUAAAAUUGGAAAGCCUUCUAAGGACUCAACUGUAGAUCCACAGCCAAUUGUAGCAGAAAAGAGGGCACCAACUUGAUCUCCCGAAGAUCCACCAUUGUGAUCUAUUGAUUUGAAAGGAAGAUUUGGGCAUGCCAUUGCUCCCAAAACUACUUUGCCUUCGUCCAGUAAUGCAAGUCCAAUUGCAUAUUGGUCUCCCCUUAUGAACCCCUUAGUUCCAUCUAUCGGAUCCAAUAUCCAAUAUCGCCCAGAAGGUCCACCCUCAGAUUUUCCACCAUCGAUUGCUACCAGCACAUCUUCCUUAGAUAAUGUGAUGCUGUACGAACCAUCAUUUAUGAUGGUUUCGUUCACAAGUUUGGUGAUAUGUCCCAACAUUUCUUGAGCUCCAUCUUUCCUCAAGUCUUCAGAAUCCUUUAUAAGUCAACAAGUAAUGGAAAAAGA
rnacentral:sRNA from 1 species